rnacentral:tRNA from 3 species
GGCGGAUGUAGCCAAGUGGCUCA